rnacentral:tRNA from 1 species
GCCUGGGUGGCUCAGUUAGUUAAGCAUCUGACUUCGGCUCAGGUCAUGAUUUCAGAGUUCGUGGGUUUGAGCUCCACAUCGGGCU